ACCUGGAGUAGAGGGUUGGCCUGGGUUCCCAUAAAAGGUACUGGGGGAAGUGGCAUAGCUUUCAUAGAGUGGGGAAAAUACCCUCAGAGGCAAGCUGAUGAAACUUUCUCCUGGAAGGAGAAAACACAAGGAGGGAAGGCCUUGAUUUACAGAGACGAAGCCUUGCAACUCCUGCGGUGUGAGAGGGGUUGCAGACAAGAAGAAAACCAGAAAGACCUCAGAUGAGAUAGAGCUGUCUCCCAGACAUGCCAGAAGGUGGUGCCCCUGUGAUGAGUCAAGUACCCUGUGACUGGAAAUCAAGAAGAACUGUUCCACUGGAGUUCAGUUGGCAGCAAUGCUCCCUUCGCACAGAAAUAGCUCUCCGCUGAAGGGCUUCUAGAAAUUGGUCAUUAUUUUGGGGAGAAGUUUGGAUACAUCAGUGGACCUGUACCAAUUCACACCAACGGAGAAUCUGAACCAAUGUGUUAGCUGAAAAUGAGAUGUUGACUGACUUCUUUGCUCUUUAUGAUUUGUGUUCAUGGGCUAUGCAGUCUAGCAAUAUUAACUUUAAAUUAGCUAAGUUGUUUGCGGGAGAUUAACAAAAGGUUGAGCAAAUCUCAACUUUUUCAAACUGUUAUGAGCUAGAAGGAAUUUAGAGAUAAGAGUUCUGCAGAGGUAGAACUGUACCAAUUCAUGCUAAAAUCGAGGUGAAAUAAUUAAACCCCAUUCUCCUCAGCUUGUCAAAUGCAAAUUUAUGAUGUAAGAAUCUGAUUCUCAUAAUAAAUUAAAUUUCCAUGCUGCUGAAAGUCUUGUUUUACCAUUUGUGAAAUCAUGAGUUGCUACUGUGCACAUCUUGUUAUAUAUGUUAGGAAGUGAUGGGAACACACAGAAAAGCCAGGAUGAAUAUUAAAAGUUAUUAUAUCAGGAUUUCUUUGAUCCCUAGAUGAUGGUGAUGAUGACGAUAAUAGGAGUAGUAGUAAAAGAAAAAGAAGAAACUGUGCAAAUACUAAGACACCUGGGGCUAGAUUUACAGAGCGAUUUAGUCAUGGUGAUACUCACUAUCACCAUGCCUAACUUAGGCACUUAGAAAAUCACUGGGAUUCACAAACUUUGAUCUCAGCAUCUAGGCUCCCCAUACAAUGAGUGGGGGAGAGACCAAGCACUGCAGUGCAGACUGGGAUACACAAAAGCCAGCAUGUAAACCAGUUCAUUGCCUAAAAUAGCCAUUUGGAGAUGCCAAGGUGAGUGGUAAGUAGUCUGCUUGGGUUUCUCAGCUGCAAACCUUCUCUUGGCAUUAAGUGCCUAUGAGGAAGACUUUUCUUGUAACUUUUAACCCAGUGGUCCAGGUAGUUAUCUGGGAUGUGGCAGACUUCUAGUUCAAAUCCCCUAUCUAUCUGAGGGGGAGCAGGAUUUGAAUGAGAAUCUGUCACGAGUGCCUUAAUUGUUGUGCUAUGGGAUAUUCUGAUGU